rnacentral:rRNA from 1 species
GACGAACGCUGGCGGCGUGCUUAACACAUGCAAGUCGAACGGAAAGGCCCUGCUUUUGUGGGGUGCUCGAGUGGCGAACGGGUGAGUAACACGUGAGUAACCUGCCCUUGACUUUGGGAUAACUUCAGGAAACUGGGGCUAAUACCGGAUAGGAGCUCCUGCUGCAUGGUGGGGGUUGGAAAGUUUCGGCGGUUGGGGAUGGACUCGCGGCUUAUCAGCUUGUUGGUGGGGUAGUGGCUUACCAAGGCUUUGACGGGUAGCCGGCCUGAGAGGGUGACCGGCCACAUGGGGACUGAGAUACGGCCCAGACUCCUACGGGAGGCAGUAGGGGGGAAUAUUGCACAAUGGGCGGAAGCCUGAUGCAGCAACGCCGCGUGCGGGAUGACGGCCUUCGGGGUGUAAACCGCUUUCGCCUGUGACGAAGCGUGAGUGACGGUAAUGGGUAAAGAAGCACCGGCUAACUACGUG